GGCGGCGUAGCCGAGUGGUUCAGGCAGGGGUCUGCAAAACCUCAUACGGCGGUUCGAUUCCGCCCGCCGCCUCUA
rnacentral:tRNA from 1 species